CGCCGCCCGAGGUUCCGCGGCUCCAGCCGGGAGAGGGUGCCCGAACCCGCGCUGCUGCAGCCGCCACCAGGGGUUUUCCCCAGACUAGUGUAUGGCGGCCCUGGCAACCCAACCCUCCCCGACUCAGAGGCCACAGCAACCAACCCCCACGUCCUGAUGGGUCCCGAGGGGGGCGCGGCGAGGCCCGGGUGCUUCUUCGGCGUCUACCUGCUCUAUUGCCUGAACCCUCGGCACCGGGGCCGCGUCUACGUGGGGUUCACCGUUAACCCGGCUCGUCGGGUGCAGCAGCACAACGGAGGCCGCAGAAAAGGCGGGGCCUGGCGGACCAGCGGGCGCGGGCCCUGGGAGAUGGUGCUCAUAGUGCACGGCUUCCCUUCCGCCGUGGCCGCCCUUCGGUUCGAGUGGGCCUGGCAGCACCCGCAGGCCUCGCGCCGCCUGGCGCACGUGGCACCACGCCUGCGCAGCGAGGCCGCCUUCGCGUUCCACCUGCGGGUGCUGGCGCACAUGCUGCGCGCGCCGCCCUGGGCGCGCCUCCCGCUCACCCUGCGCUGGCUGCGCGCCGACUUCCGCCAGGACCUCUGCCUGCCACCCCCGCCUCACGUGCCGGUAGCCUUCGGGCCUCCGCCACCGCGGAUGCUGGCCCCCAAGCGUCCGGCCCGUCCCUUUGCUGACACCGAGCCGGAGCCGGACCAGGACGCGGAGGCCCCCUGCACCCUGUGCGGGCGCGCGCUUCAGGAUGAAGAAGGCCCCCUGUGUUGCCCCCACCCUGGCUGCUCCCUAAGGGCCCACAUGACCUGCCUGGCAGAUGAGUUCCUGCAGGAGGAGCCCGGGCAGCUUCUGCCCCUAGAGGGCCGAUGCCCUGGGGCCUAGGCUGAAGGAGUCUUGUGAUCUGACUGUCUCCUACCAACUGCACCCCUCGGUAGCUGCAAGAACUCACUGCUGUGGGGAGACCUGAUCCGGCUGUGCCGGAUGGGCUCCGAGGAGGAAGAGGAGAACUUGGAAUUAGAAGAGGAACACUGGACAGACAUGCUGGAGAUCUGACCCUCAGCACCCCCAGCCCUCCACCCAUUCCUUACCCGUGCCACUGCCUUCGUGUCUGGGCAGUUUUUACUUGAGUACAAUAAAAAGUCUGAGUUAAGGGCAUCUUCCGGUAUUUGCUGGGGUGUGUGUGGAGUUAGGGGGCAAAGGCCCUGCCAGUCACUGGGGCCCGAGGAGAUGAGAGGCUGCGGGAGGGGCCACUGACCCCAGAUGGACCAGCCUCUCCUCUGCUGGAGGCCCUUCUGCCUCAGCUUUCUCCUGGCCUGCCUCUGAGAUCACAGUUCCUUUUGAUUU